rnacentral:piRNA from 1 species
UUCCUUACUCGUCACUGGUGCAAAACCACU